rnacentral:misc_RNA from 1 species
GAGGAACUGCCCACCUGCAAAUACAUCAUCUCCAUCUCUCUCUCUUACACACAAACACACACACGCAGUGUCCAAGAAUAGCAACUGGGCUUGACGUCUUAAGAUACCUAAUCCACCAAAAACCAAAAUUGAGUUAAAAAAGAGAGAGAGGCAUCUCUCUCUCUCUAGCUUUCUUUCUGGGGCGGCUCUGCUAAAAAUUCCUUUUUUCUUUCUUUAUGGGUUCUGAAU